rnacentral:rRNA from 1 species
UACGUAUGGUGCAAGCGUUAUCCGGAUUUACUGGGUGUAAAGGGAGCGUAGACGGAGAAGCAAGUCUGGAGUGAAAGCCCGGGGCUCAACCCCGGGACUGCUUUGGAAACUGUUUUUCUUGAGUGCCGGAGAGGUAAGCGGAAUUCCUAGUGUAGCGGUGAAAUGCGUAGAUAUUAGGAGGAACACCAGUGGCGAAGGCGGCUUACUGGACGGUAACUGACGUUGAGGCUCGAAAGCGUGGGGAGCAAACAGG